rnacentral:lncRNA from 1 species
UGAGAUAUCUCCGCCAAGCUUCCAACGCAACAAGCUUCUAAAGUACUACAAAAAAAAGGAAAUAGAGCAGAGAAAGCAUUUUAAUGCUUAGUAAGUUCAUAUUGUUGACACCAUUUUUUUGAUAAAACGGGGUCGACUUGGAUUUUGAAAAAUGAAAAUGAAUGUGAGAGUCGCCACCAAUCUUUUUUGAUGAGGUGUGAUCGGGUCAACUCGUAAAAUGGUUGUUUUUAAUAAACGGUUUAGAUUUAUUAAAACAAUGCUUUUGGUCUGCGAAAUUCAGAAAAAUAGGUUCGGGAGUCGGUUACAUACGAGGAAGG